GACGAGAUACUGCCAUGAUAUCUCUUUAGCCGGUGGACAGGUGAUGCUUAAACACAGCAUAUGCACAGACAAUGGUCAACAUGCUGAGCUCGUGAAAACGAUCACUGACACAGGCUGAUGUCUGAAGGACCAAUUGCUAAAACUGUCUGUAUCAUUUGCUCCCCUUUUAUGCUUCAUCUUUCUGUAUUAGUAACAUUCAAGAGGGAUUCAAGUAACCUGAUAUAACAUCUGCAACAUUGCUCUCAUCAAGAAAACAUUCAUUGAGAUAAUAAGGGAAAUGUGCGCUGUCUCAAGAGGCUUGUGUGUAAAAUAGACCAAGCAAUAAAAAAAAAAAAUUAGAAAAAAAAAAACCCCAAACCUAACAAACUGGAUAGAUAUUUCAGACUUUUCAGAAGAGCAAAGAGAAGCAAGAAAACAUUGCAGAUUUUACCAGUAAAGUGUAUUUUAGCUGAAAUAAGAUCUUCUCUGAUAGUUUAUCCAGUCCCUAGAGACUUUGUGUAAUUAUUGUUAGAUUUACCUUGGGAAGGAUUUGGACUUAGGUGGUACCAGAAAUCUUGUGCAGUGAAUUCUCCAGGACCUCCUUCCUGCGCUGGGCGCCAUUACUCUGGCCCAGGCAACUCAAACACCCUCAGGCUGCUGUGAGCUGCUCUUUUCCGUAGCUUCCUUCACUUUUGGGAGCUGUUUCUUCUGACUCAGCAAUAAAUAGCAGAGAAGGGAAGUACUCUGGGAAUUCAGAUAUAUGAUGUAUACAAAGUCAUGCUUUCUGAUUGUGAAGGAGACCGCAAGUAAAUCCUCCGUGUGCACCCAGAUUGGAUCUUCCAUUGAAAAACAUCAAAAUCUGAAUUAUACAGAGGCUGUACAGCACUAUGGAUGUUAGUGACUGACAUACUCUAGCAGUGAUAUCACUAUAGCAGUGAAGAAGCUAUCCAAGCAAAUGAGAAAGUUGUAAGCUCCAGCAGCUGCACUGAAGCGCCUGUUACUGAGACAUCAGGCAGGAGAAACAACUGUACAACCCUGUGAAAGUGCUUUUUUACAGCCAGGCCUCCAACUCUGACCAAGCGUGCUAGUGGCUGAUACUCCAAGUCCUGCAGAGUUGAUUUGGAUUAAGAGGAAGGAAAAGGAUGGGAGUUUUGUCUAAAUGCCAGGUAUAGACAGACAUACCCCAGAGUUGUGGCACCCAUUAAUAGAUCCAGCAAGCCCGUGCAGCUGUGUUUUGAUCAGCAGAAAGGUUUCCUGGCAUCCGAGAACUGAAAUCACCUUUUGGUGCUUCAGCUGGGUCUGAUGUGGACUGGGAACUGGGAAUUUCCCCUUUCUGGUUCUGAACUGCUGAAGAAUGGCUGCACCAACACACUCAGCACAGGCACGCUUCUUCACAUUUGUCUUAGGUCAUCACACCUCACUGGAGGCUUCCCUGGUUUAAUGAGCAACUCAGAAAGCACAGAGAGGGCCAGAGGAUGGGAGCUGUUGUACAUUCUUACAUUUGAAAGCUGCUCCAUAGCAUCCACAAGAGGAUUCUUGGCACCUGCCUAGUUAAACUGGAUGUCCAAUGUUAUCU